CAGUUCGGAUUGCAGGCUGCAACCCGCCUGCAUGAAGUUGGAAUCACUAGUAAUCGCGGAUCAGCAUGCCGCGGUGAAUGCGUUCUCGGGCCUUGUACACACCGCCCGUCACACCAUGAGAGUCGGGAACACCCGAAGUCCGUAGCCUAACCGCAAGGGGGGCGCGGCCGAAGGUGGGCUCGAUAAUUGGGGUGAAGUCGUAACAAGGUACC
rnacentral:rRNA from 1 species